rnacentral:tRNA from 1 species
GGAGGGGUGCGCCGAAUGGUAAGGCAGCAGGUUGCUAACCUGUAACGAUGAAAGUCGUUUGUGGGUUCAAGUCCCACCUCCUCCG